CUCUUCGACACGGGGUGCCUAACGGCUGAGAACACACCCGUCGAACCUGAUCUGGUCAACACCAGCGUAGGGAUGUCUGCACGUGGGACA
rnacentral:ncRNA from 2 species